UCUGAUCCGCGAAACCCGGCAAUGAGGAGGGCCCCGACCGCCAGGUCGGGGCCCUUUCUUUUG
rnacentral:sRNA from 1 species